rnacentral:rRNA from 1 species
GGGGGUAAAUUAAUGGAAUUUAUAUAUAUAUAUAAUAAAAGAAUUUUUAUUGAUAAUAUUUUAAUGGGGGUUAAAGUAUUGGAUAGAAAAAAUUUAAAUUUUUAUAGUGUAAUAGUAUUGUGAAUGAAUGGUGAAAUAAAAUGAAAAUUAAUUAUUUUGAAAGUAUUUUUAAUUUAAAGUAUCUUGUGUAUCAGAGUUUAUUAAUAAAAAUUUUUAAAUAAAAAAAUCUCGAAUUUAAAAGAGUUAAUUAAUUAAAUUUGUUAUUGUAGUAUAAAUAUAAAUAAUAAUUAAUUUGAAAUAAUAUGUUAUUCGUUUUUAAAUAUAUCUAGUUUUUUUAGAAAUAAAUUGAAUUUAUAAUUUUUUUUUAUUAAUUAAUAAUUAUUUUAAUUAAUAAAAAAAAAUUAAAUAUUUUAAGGGAUAAUCUUUAAAAUAAAAUUUUAUAAUUAAAAAUAAAAUUUUAAUUAAAAUUUUUAAAAUUUAUAUUGUUUAUAAAUUUUAUUUUUUUAUAAAAAUUUUUAAUUAAAUUUAAAAUUUUUAAAUUAAUUUAAAUUUAUAUAAAAAAAUUUUUUUUAAUUAAUAAUAAUUAGUUAUAAUGAUAAAAUUAGUAUAAUAAUGGUAAUUUAAAUUAAAAAUUAUUAAAAAGUAUUAAAAAGGAAUUCGGCAAAAUUUAAUAUUCACCUGUUUAACAAAAACAUGUCUUUUUGUUUAUAAUUUAAGGUUGAAUCUGCCCACUGAUUUAAUUAAAGGGCUGCAGUAUAUUGACUGUACAAAGGUAGCAUAAUCAUUAGUCUUUUAAUUGAAGACUUGUAUGAAAGAUUUGAUGAAAUAUUAACUGUCUCUUUGGUAAAUUUAAAAUUUAAUUUUUUAGUUAAAAAGCUAAAAUAAUUUUAAAAGACGAGAAGACCCUAUAGAGUUUUAUAUUUAAGAUAAUUUUUUAUUUAUAUUAAUUUAAAAUAUUGAAAUUAUAUUAAAUAAUUUAUUGGGGUGAUAAAAAAAUUAAAUGAACUUUUUUUUUAAAAAAACAUUAAUUUAUGAUUUUAUGAUCCAUAAUUUAUGAUAAUAAGAAAAAAUUACCUUAGGGAUAACAGCGUAAUUUUUUUUUUUAGUACAAAUAAAAAAAAAAGUUUGCGACCUCGAUGUUGGAUUAAGAUAAAAAUUAAAUGUAGAAGUUUAAAUUUUUGAUCUGUUCGAUCAUUAAAAUCUUACAUGAUCUGAGUUCAGACCGGCGUGAGCCAGGUUGGUUUCUAUCUUUAGAUAAAUAUAAUAUUUUAGUACGAAAGGAUCAAAUAUAAAAAAUAAUUUUAAAUAUAAAGAAUUUUAAUAAUUAUCUUAUAGAUAUAUAUAUAUAUAUAUAUA